AGACCACCUAAAAUACGGCACUCUAUUUAUGGUACUUUUAAGUACCAUAAAUAGAGUGCCGUAUUUUAGGUGGUUAA
rnacentral:pre_miRNA from 1 species